rnacentral:tRNA from 1 species
GGGCAGAUGGCUGAGCGGUUUAAGGCACCAGUUUUGAAAACUGGCAUAGGUACCCCCUAUCACGAGUUCGAAUCUCGUUCUGCCCU